GUACGCAGUUUGUUUUAUUUAUUUAAAAAUUAAGUAGUGUACUUGUGCCUCCUGCUUCCCCUUCCCCACAAUUUUCAUUUGGGGUGCCCCCUUUUUGCUUUAGGUUACCAUCUAUCCCUUAAAACCAUUUUUCUGUAUCGUAGGGCCCUCCAGAUGGCACAAGAUUGUUAGAGAUGACAGUCACUGUCUAACAAUCUGGCAUUUGCCUUUAUAUAACAGUGCGCUGAAGUGUAUAUGUACAUCAUAUUGGGUCAAGGGUUAAUAUAACAGUGUUGGCUAUGCAAAACUGGGCAAUGUCAUUCUUUUUAAACAAUACAUUCUGUAGUAGACUGUCCCCAUUUAAUGUUUGAAUAUUUUUUCUGUCCAACAGAAUCCCAGAUAGUAUUGGCAAGGACAUUGAGAAAGCAUGUCAGUCCAUUUAUCCUCUCCAUGAUGUAUAUGUUCGCAAGGUGAAGAUGCUGAAAAAGCCUAAGUUUGAGCUGGGCAAACUAAUGGAACUGCAUGGUGAAGGGGGUGGCACUGGAAAACCCACAGGUGAUGAGACUGGUGCCAAAGUAGAACGGGCAGAUGGCUAUGAACCCCCAGUACAGGAGUCUGUCUGAGAUGGUCACUCUGAUUUAGAAAGUCUGUACAAACAAAAUUAAAAACAAAUUCUAUAUAAA